AUUCCAGCUCCAAUAGCGUAUAUUAAAGUUGCUGCAGUUAAAAAGCUCGUAGUUGGAUUUCUGGUGGGAGCGAUCGGUCUGGCGCUUAGCGCCAGUACUUGCAUCGUCUCCGGCCAUCCUUGGGGAGAGUUUGUCUGGCAUUAGGUUGUCGGACGGUCGACGCUCGUCGUUUACUGUGAACAAAUUAGAGUGUUCAAAGCAGGCUUAGGCCGUUGAAUACAUUAGCACGGAAUAAUGUGAUAGGACUUUGGUGGUCUAUUUUGUUGGUUUGCACGCCGAAGUAAUGAUUAAUAGGGGCGGUUGGGGGUAUUCGUAUUCAAUUGUCAGAGGUGAAAUUCUUGGAUUUAUGGAAGACGAACUACUGCGAAAGCAUUUACCAAGGAUGUUUUCAUUA
rnacentral:rRNA from 1 species